GAUGAACGCUGGCGGCGUGCUUAACACAUGCAAGUCGAACGGAAAGGCCCAAGCUUGCUUGGGUGCUCGAGUGGCGAACGGGUGAGUAACACGUGGGUGGUCUGCCCUGCACUUUGGGAUAAGCCUGGGAAACUGGGUCUAAUACCGGAUAGGACCAUCGUUUAGUGUCGGUGGUGGAAAGUUUUUCGGUGUGGGAUGAGCUCGCGGCCUAUCAGCUUGUUGGUGGGGUAAUGGCCUACCAAGGCGUCGACGGGUAGCCGGCCUGAGAGGGUGUACGGCCACAUUGGGACUGAGAUACGGCCCAGACUCCUACGGGAGGCAGCAGUGGGGAAUAUUGCACAAUGGGCGCAAGCCUGAUGCAGCGACGCCGCGUGGGGGAUGACGGCCUUCGGGUUGUAAACUCCUUUCGCCAAGGACGAAGCGUUUUGUGACGGUACUUGGAGAAGAAGCACCGGCUAACUACGUG
rnacentral:rRNA from 1 species